CCCUGCGAGCUCCCCAGCCCGCCCCCUGCUCCCAGGGGGCACAGCUCACUCCCAGGCUGUGCUCCCAGGCAGGGGUCCUGGGGGCAGCACGUCUGUCUCACUAGGGGGGUCCCUGCCCAAGCACAGCUGCAGGCCCGCCCAAGGGGUGAGACGUGGCCCUCCUUCCACAGACCCCUGGACGCAGACGGGCAGAGGGCACCGCAGCCUCCACGCAGGGCCCGGGGUGCCGAGGACACCAGCCCCUUCCGGCCCGACCCCCCUCUCGGAGACUGUUUCCCUCUCUGCCCCUCCCCUCUGCCUUUUGUCUUUUCUAUAACAAAGCAGCGGGCAGCCAGGGGCUUGGCCGCUCCUGCUUCUGAUGACCAGCCACGGGGCCCAGCCCCUUCUCAGUGCAGAGCACCCCAGCUCUAAGCAGCUCCUGCCGCCUCAGGCCCCACCAGCUCGAGGGCUGCCCUGAGCCCUGGGACUCGGGGUGCCCUGCUGAACUCCGGAGCAGCCCCGGGGCAUCCGGCCCCCUGUCCGUGACCACCGCCCUGGCUGACCCGAGACACCCGUGAGACCAGGGGGCAGUGAGCGGGCUCCCGACCCACAGGGCUGCCCCUUGACCCCCCGGGGGGGCGUUGUCCAGAGACCCAGGCGCCGAAAGUCCGGCCACAGCCCUGCAGGCCCGGCGCGCCGGCUCGCACUCUGGAUGCCUUUGCCUGACAGAGGGUUUUUCAGAACCUCAAGGCCUCCCAACCGUCACCUCUGUCACCUGUGUCACCUACAACGCAAACAGCGUUUUGGCUGCAAUCAGUGGGACGAUGUGAGCCCCGGGAAGGGAGGCUUCUUUAAAUUGUGCAAGUUCAAACCCAGCUUUCUGGAAAAUUCACUGCACUCCACAGGCGGGAGGCACGGGCUGGCCCACAGGUGAGGGGCUGUCUCUCGGGAGGGGCCGCCCUCGGCGCACACAGCUGUGGCCAGGGCUGCUGCAGGUCUGCGGGGCCCACGGAGCCCCUCCCUGCCCUUCCCAGCUUCCUCUGCCCCUCAGGGGUCCCUGCCCACCAGCCCAGAGGGUGCGGAAGGCUCUGGAGGGUAGUCAGCGAGGACUUCCUGCUGGAGUCGGCCUGGGGCAGGGGAGACCCGGCUGCACCCGCCCGUUCCUGGGGAAGGUGGGAGACAGCGGGAGCUGGUGGCUGGCAGCUGGUGGAGCCGGGGUUGAGGGCAGGUCAGGACAGCCCCAGUCCCGGUGAGGCCCAGGAAGGCGGGUUCACUGCCUUUGCUCCUUUGCUCAGGCCCGCCCUCUCCUCGCAGGGCCCACAGAGAGCAGCAGGCGGAAGGCCGGAGGUGCCCACAUCCGGGAGCCCAGGUUGGGGCCGAGCCCUGCAGGCUGUCCCUCCCCAAGGGCACCUGAGAGCGUGCACGCAGGCACCAUGCAGGGGCUGAGCCUGCGGAGUGUGAGGGGCCCAGGGAGGGCCACAGGAAGGGACUGGCUGAGGGCCUGGACCUCGGGGAGUCGGGUCCGGGCCCUGGCCCCUCUCCAGGCUGGGCCUGAGAGGGUCGGGGGACCUCAGGAGAGCCCUGGCAGAGUUCCUGAGCCUCCCCUCACUGGGGUGCUUCAGGUGGCUGCCUGUCCCCGCCGACGCCUGUGACGGAAGACCUGACCCCUUCCCCAGGCUCAGGACAUUUGAACCCGGCCCAGGGGCUGUGCCACCAGGUGGGGGUGGGAGGGCCCUCUCUGCCCCAAGCCCCACGAGCACCUGUGCGCAGCAGGUGGCAGAGGCCCCAGAAGGACCCACAGCUCUGGACGCUGGGGAGACCCUGACGGAAAACGGAGCUCAGGAUCCACAUUCUGGCGCAGUUCCCCUCCCCAGACCAGCUGCCCACCUGGCCAAGCCCCAGAAAGCUCGGUGCUUGUCAAACAGACCUGCGAGGGAACCCGGAUCUGGCCUGCGCCAAACCAUCUCGUGGAUAGACAGACACCAUGGAGGUCCCUGGAGAACCCGUGCUGGCCCGACGCACCUUGUGCAGCGUCCCUGCAUCUGAGGCCCCAGGCACUGGUCCGUCUCCCUCCGCAAUGGACUCAACCGACUGCGGGUCAGGAACAGCAUUUUCCAAUUCACACCCCGGAUUCACGACGGCAGGCCCACGACACCGCGCUGGCUGUGCGGCUGGUCACAUCGCAGACGCGAGACCCGCAGACGCACGGGGCCGGCUGUGUUCAUGGAGGAAAAUGUCUGUCGGUGGGUGGACUGCAGCUCAGACGACGGCGCCCGAGGGUCCGCGGUGCAGAGUCUCCUAACCGCGGGUUUUCGCUGGUGGUUCCUCGGGAAUGGCAUGUCGGAGGGACCUGCCACUUCUCAACGGCCUAACACCCCAUGAGGCAUAAACUUCGUCCCCAAAACUCCUAAGUGACGCCCUGAUGCAGUACCUCAUUCGUGAUAGAGCCUUGAAAAGGCAACCAGGUUCAAACGAGGCCGGCGAGCGGGGCCUCGCCCAGUCCGACUGUCCUCCUGGGAACAGGGGGGCUGCGCCCAGACUCCAGGGGAGAAGGCCUCGGGGAGGGGCCUCGGAGAGGCCGGCACUGCCCACACCCGGCUCUUGGGGUCUCAAACGUCCAGCCCCCAGGAGCCGGAGGAAAGAAAUUCCUGUUGUGCCGGUGACAGCCCCCGUGUCACCCUCUCUGGCCUUUCGCCUGCGAGCCCCUCAUGGAAACAAGGGACCCAGGGGUCUGCGUUCCAGAAGUUUCUGACUCCGGCCGAUGGGAGCGGCCCACCUUCCCCGAGGGCCCUGGCCCAUCAGAGCCUCUGCUGCUCCAUUCUGCCACCGAGGCACGUCCCCAGUGCCGCCUCCCCUCCAGGGGGGCCAGGUGCCACCAGGCCCCUGGCAGACACACAGCCUGCCGUCCAGGGCCCCCAGCUGCCCCUGGGGGUGGCCACCCUGGAGGUACGGAAGGGCAGCUCCGCCCGCUCCCCUGGCCCCACCCUGCACCCCCUCAGCCUGGGCCGUCCCCCGGGAGGCCCGCCUCCGGGCACCCACUCGGGGACCGUCCCUCCGUCUGUGACCGCUGCUUCCCGAGAAACAGGGACUCUGCCCACAGCAGCCCUCACCCACCGUACGCGCAGGUCCCUGUCUGCUCUUGACACAAAUGGACUCUAAGUCCUCGUCACCUGCGCCAACACAUUUUCUCAGUUCGGCGCUUUUUCUGCAGACUGGGCUCAUGGAAUCGUUUUCUACACGGAAGUUUUGACUUUGAGGCAGCAGAUGUGACUGCAAGGAAACAUGGAAUUCUAUAUAUACAUAUAAAAUAUAUGUGAUAUGUACAUAUGUGUAAAAUAUAAAAUUACUGUGCUUUUCUAGACUGUGCGAGGAGGAAAGUUUUUUAAACACCUUAUUAUUAGUGUUCUCAAAGAGGUAAGAAAAAAUAUUGUGACCCCAGACAAAGUCGAGAAAUAAAUAUUCAGAGAACGGAAGUGACUUGGAAAUGCCAGUGGCAGCU